rfam:Mus musculus chromosome 10, GRC primary reference assembly.
UGGCUCUCAGCACACGGGACUCAAGAAGGGACCAGUGAAGAUCACUGAAGCUGACAAAUUUUAUAUGAAAGAAGUCUUGUGCGGGAACCUGACGCCUUGACUAGGGAUCCUGGCAAGUUUGCGGUGAUCAUUGGGACAGACAUUGAAUGACCAUGAAUUAUAUGUGGAAAGGUUGACAAUGGGUUUAAAGGCAUGAGGGAUAAAGGUUAAAAUACAUGAUUUGCUUGCAUUUUUAUUUUUAUUUAUUUAUUUUUUGUUA